rnacentral:rRNA from 1 species
AGCGAACGCUAGCGGCGGGCCUAACACAUGCAAGUCGAGCGCAUACCUUCGGGUAUGAGCGGCGGACGGGUGAGUAACGCGUAGGUCAUCUACCCUUUGGUGGGGGAUAACCCAGGGAAACUUGGGCUAAUACCGCACGAGGUCUACGGAUCAAAGCCUUCGGGCGCCAGAGGAUGAGCCUGCGUCGCAUUACCUAGUUGGCGGGGUAACGGCCCACCAAGGGGACGAUGCGUAGCUGGUCUGAGAGGAUGAUCAGCCACACUGGGACUGAGACACGGCCCAGACUCCUACGGGAGGCAGCAGUGGGGAAUAUUGCGCAAUGGGGGAAACCCUGACGCAGCAACGCCGCGUGGAGGAUGAAGAUCUUUGGAUUGUAAACUUCUGUCGAUCGGGAAGAAAAGUCAAUGGUUAAUAGCCAUUGUAAUGACGUUGUACCGAUAAAGAAAGCACCGGCUAAUCUCGUGCCAGCAGCCGCGGUAAU